rnacentral:rRNA from 1 species
AGUGAACGCUGGCGGUAGGCCUAACACAUGCAAGUCGAACGGCAGCACAGUAAGAGCUUGCUCUUACGGGUGGCGAGUGGCGGACGGGUGAGGAAUACAUCGGAAUCUACUUUUUCGUGGGGGAUAAAGUAGGGAAACUUACGCUAAUACCGCAUACGACCUAAGGGUGAAAGCAGGGGAUCUUCGGACCUUGCGCGAUUGAAUGAGCCGAUGUCGGAUUAGCUAGUUGGCGGGGUAAAGGCCCACCAAGGCGACGAUCCGUAGCUGGUCUGAGAGGAUGAUCAGCCACACUGGAACUGAGACACGGUCCAGACUCCUACGGGAGGCAGCAGUGGGGAAUAUUGGACAAUGGGCGCAAGCCUGAUCCAGCCAUACCGCGUGGGUGAAGAAGGCCUUCGGGUUGUAAAGCCCUUUUAUUGGGAAAGAAAAGCAGCAGGUUAAUACCCCGCUGUUCUGACGUUACCCAAAGAAUAAGCACCGGCUAACUUCGUG